UAUCAAGGCUGCUGAAAGCAGGUCAGUGAAUGUCAGUCUCUGAGCAGAUGGGAAGAACUGAGGAUGAAUUUGUCCACUUAAAUGGGAAUGGAAGCUUAAGAAUCAAGAUAUUUGAAGGUUGUUGCCUCCAGUGCCCAGGGCUGACUGGAAAGGUAAGGGAAACUGAGGUACAGAGGAGGGGAAGAGCCAUGAUUGACUUCAUGCAACUCAUCAGGGAGGGCACCCAGAUUUACACGUGGAUCUGUGUCACUACAAAGCAGUGCCCUUGACUUAACACUCCAUCACUUUCCAUACAAGCUUCAAACUGAACUCCACCUUCAUUAGCUUGGUGAGCGCAGACCGCUGAACUCUUCUAACAUCUGUCUUAGAGGUUAUGUGUUGGCUGCUGCGUUCAGAGCUAUCCUAAAAGUAACUGAAACAAG
rnacentral:lncRNA from 10 species